UUUUCAGCAGGAGACGCGAGCGUCCCGACGUUCCUCGGCGACUCGGUGGACUCGCUGGAGUACGUGGUCACCCUGGGCAUCGGCACGCCGCCCGUGCAGCAGACCGUGCUCAUCGACACCGGCAGCGACCUGUCGUGGGUGCAGUGCGCGCCCUGCAACUCCACGCAGUGCUACCCGCAGAAGGACCCCCUGUUCGACCCGAGAAAGUCGUCCACGUUCGCGCCCAUCCCCUGCGCCACCGACGCCUGCAAGGCGCUCUCGGUCGACAGCUACGACAACGGCUGCACCAACGGCACGGACGGCGCCUCUCUGUGCGGGUACGCCAUCGAGUACGCCAACCGCGCGGUCACCACGGGGGUGUACAGCACGGAGACGCUCACGCUCAACGCCGGCGUCUCCGUCAGCAACUUCAGCUUCGGCUGCGGCAGCAACCAGCACGGGCCCUACGACAAGUUCGACGGCCUCCUCGGCCUCGGCGGCGCGCCGGAGUCGCUCGUGUCGCAGACGUCGUCCGUCUACGGCGGCGCCUUCUCCUACUGCCUCCCGCCGGCGAGCGGCGGAGCCGGGUUCCUCACCCUCGGCGCGCCGAGCAACAACACGGCCGGCUUCCUAUUCACGCAGAGGCGCCGCCUAUCCCCAGAGCUCGCGACGUUCUACGUCGUCACGCUCACCGGCAUAAGCGUCGGCGGGACAGCGCUCGACAUCCCUCCGGCGGUGUUCUCCAAGGGCAUGAUCAUCGACUCCGGCACGGUCAUCACGGGGCUCCCCAAGACGGCCUACGCGGCGCUGCGCACGGCGUUCCAGAGCGCCAUGUCCCAGUACCCGCUCCUGCCGCCGUCGGAGAACGGGCUCGACACGUGCUACAACUUCACCGGCAACAGCAGCGUCACCGUGCCCAAGGUGGCCCUCACGUUCAGCGGCGGCACCACCGUCGACCUCAGCGUGCCGUCGGGGGUUCUGGUGGAAGGAUGCCUCGCCUUCAGGGGAGAAAGCUCCGACAACAGCGGCGGGAUCAUCGGCAAUGUGAAUCAGCGUACCUUGGAGCUCUUGUACGAUUCUGGCCGCGGAAGCGUCGGGUUCAGAGCUGGUGCCUGCUGA
rnacentral:rRNA from 1 species